GACGAACGCUGGCGGCGUGCUUAACACAUGCAAGUCGAACGGAAAGGCCCCUUUGGGGUACUCGAGUGGCGAACGGGUGAGUAACACGUGAGUAACCUGCCCUUGACUUCGGGAUAACUUCAGGAAACUGGGGCUAAUACCGGAUAGGAAUCCUUGCUGCAUGGUGGGGGUUGGAAAGCUUCGGCGGUUUUGGAUGGACUCGCGGCUUAUCAGCUUGUUGGUGGGGUAGUGGCUUACCAAGGCUUUGACAGGUAGCCGGCCUGAGAGGGCGACCGGCCACAUUGGGACUGAGAUACGGCCCAGACUCCUACGGGAGGCAGCAGUGGGGAAUAUUGCACAAUGGGCGGAAGCCUGAUGCAGCAACGCCGCGGGCGGGAGGACGGCCUUCGGGUUGUAAACCGCUUUCAGCAGGGGCGAAGCUUGUGGUGACGGUACCUGCAGAAGAAGCACCGGCUAACUACGUG
rnacentral:rRNA from 1 species